GCCCUCGCCGGCAUUUCAGAAACCUGUUCGAGCCUUUCCUUUACGGCUGAACGUUCUUAUUUACUAAAUAUUUAUUUAGCUCUCUGAGGACUCAGAACUAAUCACUGCCACCUCUCUUUAAUAAUAAAUGGUGAACUUCAAAUGCGAUGGAACUCAACCGACUAAUCAGUGCUCGCCGGGAGGUGCAAAACUGCAACCCGCCAGUGGACAUGAAAGACUGAACAUUUCCUGUUCCAGCUCACGGCCGCCCAGAAUAAACUUACACCAAGUGAGGUGUGGAGAAAAGAUUUGGAAGCGCUUGUUCUUCAACCGCUCUCUUAAAACAACACAGCGGGUAUUUCAGUGAUGAGCUUCGAGUGCCCCACUGUGGAUGAAGGUAUUGGCUUCAUCCGGAAAGUGGAUUAAUGAAUUCCCCCAACAUUAUCAUAGCUGCAUGAAAGAGGUAACUCAAUGUUCUCUAAGAAGGAAUAACAAAUGAAAAUGGCCAAGUUGUUUGAUUCAAGAUAUUUUUUCAUGAAAUAAUCUAUAAAAUGAGCAGUAGUUAAGAAAUAAAAGCUUUCUUUGUGUGAGCCUGUUGAGGUCCAUGGUGAAGGAACCUAUCCUCCUUCACCAUGCUGUUGCACUGUAUUUUUGCUACUUCACUGUAUUUAGUGUAUUAGUCAUGGGAGGCUGUGGUGAAUCCCAACACUUACCCCAGGCUUCACAGAUUACACCAAACUCUUAGUGGUAGGAGAAACCUUAGAGAGCACUCAGUCCUGCCUCUUCAGUGUACUGGGCACGUAAUUAAGACCCAGAGACAGGACAUGAAUAUAAACUUCCUUUUAUGAAGAGACACUUCAAAAUUUGAAUGGGGAUCAAGCCUCUGCAUGCCCAGACGUGUUUAUUUGUCAAGAAAUAGCUCCUGCAAAUAGAAGUCUUAGCUAGAACUUCAACCACUCCAGACCAACGAGACCCCCGAUGAAUACUCUAAUGCAAUUUCAGGAAGCAAGUUGAUUCUGAUACAUACAGCUUUUUCUUGGCCUAAUAUAGUGUCUUCUGAAUUGAGAUACAUGUACAUCGAAGGAUACAUUAUAUACUGUAGGGAAAGGAAAUAUAAUUGGUAUAUCAAGCUGGUGAUUUCACCCAGAUUAUUGUUUAGGAUGAGACUAUAGUUUUAUCAUUGGUAUUCUACCUAUGCAAUUCUUUUUUAACUUUUAAGUAUAGGAUUUAGAAAUACCUAUGAACAUUCUACAUAGUCAACAUGAUGCUUGAAAGAAAAUUUUACACACUGCUGUAUUCACAGAAAAGCUUUGAAAACUCCAGAUAUGUAUGAAGAUUUAAGAGAAAAAUUUUCUAAAGCUUUAAAGACUGUUAGUCUCAUUAAUGUCAAGCCAUUGACUUCUUUGCUUUUUUCUUUAACUUUUUAAAGAAAUGGAGCUCAUUGGCUUUCACUCAGUAAUGUUCACACUUCUCUAUUUGUUUUGCAAGAAACUUCAAGCCUCUUCUGUAUGUAACCUUUCAACUGACAUAUUAUAUGCAUGAUGUGUACUGUUGUUAAAAAAUAAUUGCUCAUUUGAACAUUUAAAAUUUAACCUUCUGUGGCAAGUUUCCAUUCCAUAUGCAAGAUAAAGUGAACGGGAAGAUCAUUAAACUGAAGC